rnacentral:rRNA from 1 species
UGGGGAAUAUUGGACAAUGGGGGCAACCCUGAUCCAGCCAUGCCGCGUGCGUGAUGAAGGCCUUCGGGUUGUAAAGCUCUUUUGGCGGGGACGAUGAUGACGGUACCCGCAGAAUAAGCCCCGGCUAACUUCGUGCCAGCAGCCGCGGUAAGACGAAGGGGGCUAGCGUUGUUCGGAAUUACUGGGCGUAAAGCGCGUGUAGGCGGUUGUCCAAGUCGGGUGUGAAAGCCUUGAGCUCAACUCAAGAAAUGCACUCGAUACUGGGCGACUAGAGGACCGGAGAGGAUAGUGGAAUUCCCAGUGAAGUGGUGAAAUACGUAUAGAUUGGUAAGAACACCAGUGGCGAAGGCGGCUAUCUGGACGGUUACUGACGCUAAGACGCGA